rnacentral:tRNA from 1 species
AAGACAAUAGUUUAAAAGAACAUUUGACUUGCACUCAAAAAGUAUUUUUAUUUGUCUUG